rnacentral:rRNA from 1 species
GACGAACGCUGGCGGCGUGCUUAACACAUGCAAGUCGAACGGAGUGGCGAACGGGCGAGUAACACGUGGGUGACCUGCCCUGCACUUCGGGAUAAGCCUGGGAAACUGGGUCUAAUACCGGAUAGUGUGGGAUGGGCCCGCGGCCAAUCAGCUUGUUGGUGGGGUAAUGGCCUACCAAGGCGGCGACGGGUAGCCGGCCUGGGAGGGUGGACGGCCCCAUGGGGACUGAGAGAGGGACCAGACGGCUACGGGAGGCAGCAGUGGGGAAUAUUGCGCAAUGGGCGGAAGCCUGAUGCAGAGACGCCGGGUGGGGGAAGACGGCCUUCGGGUUGUAAACUCCUUUAACCAUCGACGCGGUAGAUGGAGAAUAAGCACCGGCUAACUUCGUGCCAGCCGCCGCGGUAAUUC